AUUGAACGCUGGCGGCAGGCCUAACACAUGCAAGUCGAGCGAGCGGCGGACGGGUGAGUAAUGUAUGGGGACUGCCCGAUAGCGGGGGAUAACUACUGGAAACGGUGGCUAAUACCGCAUACUAUCGGAUAUACCAUAUGGGAUUAGCUAGUAGGUGGGGUAAAGGCUCACGUAGGCGACGAUCUCUAGCUGGUCUGAGAGGAUGAUCGGCCACGCGGGGAAUGAGACACGGCCCAGACUCCUACGGAGGCAGCAGUGGGGCAUAUUGCACAAUGGGCGCAAGCCAGAUGCAGCCAAGCCGCGUGAAUGAAGAAGGCCUUAGGGUUGUAAAGUACUUACAGCGGGGAGGCGUUACCCGCAGAAGAAGCACCGGCUAACUCCGUGCCAGCAGCCGCGGUAAUAC
rnacentral:rRNA from 1 species